AUCUAUUCAAAUUAUUACGACAAGGAAAAUUACACUGCUUUGAUAUCUAUGUAAACUUAACCAAAUACCUGGUACUUGCGAAAUGCAGAAUCAUACAUCAAAUCCAUCUACUUGCUACUAAGUAUCACUCUAAAAUCUACAAACACGACAAAAACUAACAAUCAUUUUUUAUCAUUGUUAAACUUUGAUGAAGGUAAGGGUGUCUUCUCCUGUUUCACUUUAAACUCGGCCAGCAAGCAAAUAUGAUCACUAGGGAAGUGUGCGUUAGGGAAACCAACAACGCCGGAAAGAUAAUCUUUAUCCACUCCUUUCAACAAACCGGUUACCUCCAAGCUAUUGCCGGUGUACCAAAUGUGAUCAAUGGCACCCUUAAAGCCAGGUGUAUAGUUAGUGAAGGAGAGAGCUUCAGAUUCACCAUAUGCAGAUUUCAAAUUAAAUGCAUGAGAACGUCCAUUAACAGUGUAUUCUCCGUAAUCAUUAUUCAUAAAAUCUUCAUGAUUUUGGCUAAUGCUACCAGAUGAUAAAAAGUCAUAAACACCACUGCCUUGGACGGAAUUAAAAUCUCCACAAAUUAAGAUGGGGAUCUUUAAAUACUCGGGAUAGGUAGGUCUUUCAUCCUUUAACUGGUCAGAAGGAAUCUUGGAAGGCAUAUUACGGAAUUUUGUUGCAACCUGUGCAAUCUCAUCCAUGAGCAUUGCAACUUGUAUAACCUUGACAUCCCUAAACUGAGGAUCCCAAUGAAUAUGACAAUUUGCAACGAUCAAUCGCGAUCCAUUUUCCUUAUUCUCAAGAAGAGUAAUCACACUAAUGUUAUCUUUAGUCAUAACACGGUUGUACAUGUUAGACGUUAGUUUAAUGUCUUGCCUACGAAGAGAUGGUGCUUGAUUAUAUUCUAUCACCAUCUUUUCGUGCAUGACAUAUUUAGAUGUUUUGAAAAAUGUAGCACAACCAUCGACGAUGCGACGUUCAACCUCAUUCAUAGUUCGUACGCGACUUUUCGGGAAGUGGACACCUUUAUAACCUUUCAAACUCAUUUGUGGAGCAAAAAAAGUAUCAUAGUUCUCAACAUCAACUUCUUGCAAACAAAUGAUAUCAGCAUUAUAACCACCUAAUUCUUGCAUGAUUAAAUCUUUGCGAUACGACCAAGAGAGUGCCCAUGAAGGAGUAUAGCCAUACAAUGUGGAUGUAGCAUAACGUUCACAAAGCACAUUAUAACUCAUAAUAGUAAACUUGAGAUUCUUAGAUGUUGUAGAGGGCUUGUUAGAAUCAGCAGCCGUUAAAUCUCUAACAGAGGUUGAAACAUUGUCAUUAACAUCAUCAUCAUCAUCGGAAACAAGUUUUUCCCAUCCACGCUC